rnacentral:rRNA from 1 species
GCCAGCAGCAUACCACCCUGCAUCCCACUGCUGGCUUGCUUCUGAAGCUAAGCAGGGUUGGUCCUGGUCAGUCCCUGAAAUGGAGACCAGAUGCUGCUGGAA